CGGGCCCCCGAGGGAGCUCUGCCGUCCCCUGAGGUGCUGCGGGGAGCGGCCCUGCUCCGGGAGGCACAGGGGCACCUCCCGACACAGCCCCCCGAAACAACAGCGGCCCCGGUGCGGGCUGAGCCCGUCCCAGCGGCGGCCGCAGCUGAAGUGUGAAGAGCAUCGUGGGCAGCGUGAAGCGCGCCCAGGCUCCGCUCUGCUGUGGGACCCAGCCAUACACCUGAUCCGGACGAGAUCGUGGCGUUAUCACCCUUCUCCCUGGGUUCUGCCCCAAAACACCCACUUCCGUGAAUGCUCACAGCCCCUCAGGCAAAGAAGAGCGCCCCACCUGCGCUCUCAGCACCAAGGUCCAGGGGACCGGUGUCUCAUCAAGGCUUGUCUCAACAAGACAGCAACUGAAAAUCUCGACAUCUCAUCACAGGUUUUGAAGCCUGCUUAUCCUGACCAAGCCUUUCUAGAUCUCAUCAACAUGAAGGAACUCUCCUUAUGCCCUUCCAAGAUCUGUGCAACUUCUUGGAGUGACUUCCCGGUGAUGCCAACAGCUUUCCCUGGCACCCCCAAGCAGAUUAAGUGGAAGACCACAGCAGUAUUUACUAGACUUUUUAAAGACCAAAGCAAUCAGGUAAAACAAACUGCACCUUCCAGCCAGUUGGAUCACUGUAAAAUUCAGAACUGGAAGGGACUUUCUUCAGAACAGCCUCCUGAUCUUCACAAGGCAUUCAUGUUACUCUUCCUAAUGACCUCUCUGCACUGAUCUCUAUUGGCAGAGCAAGGCUUGGGGAGCCAUCAAGGAAGGUGAUGGUACAAAUAUCCCUGCCUUUGUAAAUGAAAUAUCUCACACAAUCCACGGCUGCCAGAGGUUGGUUUUCUGGCUCCUGGAGACAUGUGUCUCCUCCUCUUUUGGGGGAAGCUGAGGGUGCAAAGGGAGCAGAGCCUGCAAUGCAUCCAUCAGCUCAAAAGCAGGAUUCAGUCCUGGAGGUAACCCUCAUCCUCUCAAAACUUUAACCUAAGGGAGCACAAAGGGAAAAAUAAUCAUCUUGUGUUGGUCAGUCGCUUUGCUCAGUGUCACAAAUAUCACAGAAAGAGUGGCCCUCAGCAGAGUUUGCUCUAGAUCAAGAAUAACUCCUGUUCCAGCCAUAGCUGGGGCUGUUUAGUACUUCAGGUUUUUGAUGUAUUGAGGAAAGCCUUGACAACACAGACAACUGCAGUGAAAUAAGAGGCUGGCUCAAACAUUAACGACCCACUGAUUUUAUGUGAGACAGAGAGAUGAUCAGACUGUCUGCCUUGGCAAAAACCUCUCCUUCCACCCACUGUGGUAGGCAUCCCUUCAAUAACUGCAAGGGGCAGAACUGGUCCCUCAAAAUUGUCUUUCUUCCCCCCCCACCCCCAACUCCUAUCCUUCUCAGACAGAGUAGGAAUAAAAAACAAGCUGUUGGUAUAGCA
rnacentral:lncRNA from 1 species